rnacentral:tRNA from 1 species
UGGGGCUGUAGCUCAGUGGUGCAGCGCUUGCCUAGCACAUGCAAGGCACUGGGUUCAAUCCUCAGCACCAUAA